rnacentral:rRNA from 1 species
AGUCGACGAGCUUCCGUUGAAUGACGUGCUUGCACUGAUUUCAACAAUGAAGCGAGUGGCGAACUGGUGAGUAACACGUGGGGAAUCUGCCCAGAAGCAGGGGAUAACACUUGGAAACAGGUGCUAAUACCGUAUAACAACAAAAUCCGCAUGGAUUUUGUUUGAAAGGUGGCUUCGGCUAUCACUUCUGGAUGAUCCCGCGGCGUAUUAGUUAGUUGGUGAGGUAAAGGCCCACCAAGACGAUGAUACGUAGCCGACCUGAGAGGGUAAUCGGCCACAUUGGGACUGAGACACGGCCCAAACUCCUACGGGAGGCAGCAGUAGGGAAUCUUCCACAAUGGACGAAAGUCUGAUGGAGCAAUGCCGCGUGAGUGAAGAAGGGUUUCGGCUCGUAAAACUCUGUUGUUAAAGAAGAACACCUUUGAGAGUAACUGUUCAAGGGUUGACGGUAUUUAACCAGAAAGCCACGGCUAACUACGUGCCAGCAGCCGCGGUAAUACGUAGGUGGCAAGCGUUGUCCGGAUUUAUUGGGCGUAAAGCGAGCGCAGGCGGUUUUUUAAGUCUGAUGUGAAAGCCUUCGGCUUAACCGGAGAAGUGCAUCGGAAACUGGGAGACUUGAGUGCAGAAGAGGACAGUGGAACUCCAUGUGUAGCGGUGGAAUGCGUAGAUAUAUGGAAGAACACCAGUGGCGAAGGCGGCUGUCUAGUCUGUAACUGACGCUGAGGCUCGAAAGCAUGGGUAGCGAACAGGAUUAGAUACCCUGGUAGUCCAUGCCGUAAACGAUGAGUGCUAAGUGUUGGAGGGUUUCCGCCCUUCAGUGCUGCAGCUAACGCAUUAAGCACUCCGCCUGGG